rnacentral:rRNA from 1 species
GAUGAACGCUGACAGAAUGCUUAACACAUGCAAGUCGAUGGGGAAGUGGUGCUUGCACCCUGGUAACCAUGGCGGACGGGUGAGUAACGCGUAAGGAACUUGCCUGCGGGACUGGGAUAACAGCUGGAAACUGCUGAUAAUACCGGAUAAGGUCAUUAAGCUGCAUAGCUUAGUGAUGAAAGGAGACGCCUGCGGAGAGCCUUGCGUCCUAUUAGCUAGUUGGAGGGGUAACGGCCCACCAAGGCGAAGAUAGGUAGCCGGCCUGAGAGGGUGGACGGCCACAAGGGGACUGAGAUACGGCCCUUACUCCUACGGGAGGCAGCAGUGGGGAAUAUUGGACAAUGGGGGCAACCCUGAUCCAGCAAUUCUGUGUGCACGAAGACGGUUUUCGGAUUGUAAAGUGCUUUCAGCAGGGAAGAAGGAAGUGACGGUACCUGCAGAAGAAGCGACGGCUAAAUACGUG